CCCUUAGAUGUUCUGGGCCGCACGCGCGCUACACUGACGAAGUCAGCGAGCAUGUCCUACGCCGACAGGUGCGGGGAAUCUUGUCAAACUUCGUCGUGAUGGGGAUUGAUUAUUGAAAUUCUUGAUCAUCAACGAGGAAUUCCUAGUAAGCGCAAGUCAGCAGCUUGCGUUGAUUACGUCCCUGCCCUUUGUACACACCGCCCGUCGCUACUACCGAUUGGAUGGUUUAGUGAGAUCUUCGGAUUGGCGCCACUGCGGCUCAGCAAUGGGCUCGGUGGAUGCCGAAAAGUUGAUCAAACUUGAUCAUUUAGAGGAAGUAAAAGUCGUAACA
rnacentral:rRNA from 1 species